rnacentral:lncRNA from 1 species
AAAUUAAGAAUCAAAUUAUAAAUUGUAAAUUGUAAAAGGCCAAAACAUUAUACAGAUCAACGCUAUAGUAAAACACAAGGGCCUUUUAGUACAUAUCAAUAACAAUAAUUAAUAACAGACAAGUGUUGGGUAAGAAUCUCUCCAAACAGACCUUAAUAGCUGCCACCCACAAUGAUCAAUCAAUGAGUAGGUUUAUCUGCAGCAGUACAGUAUCAAUGUUGGGAUCGUGAUUCAAGCUGCAUGUCUCAUAAUGUACUCAAAGAACUUUAGUAUCUUUCUUUCUUCUUGUUGCUGGACCUUCUGAUUUGAAAAAAAAUGCUUGGAUUAUUGAGCGGAAGUUCAUCAAGACAGUCUAGAUUAAUUAUUAAAAAAACUUAUUGGUGUUAAAAUGGCAUCAUCAACCUAUCAAGUCAGUGGGAUUUCACUAAAUUAAAAUCCAACCUGAGUUAAUUUUUAAAUUAUAAUUUUUUCAAAUUUUUUUAUAAAUUCAUGUUGAGUUUAAUAACUAUGCUUAUAACUACUUAUUUAGUUUAUUCAAGCUUGUUAUUUACCUGAACAAGGUUUAUGGCGUAAAAUGUAAGCUUGAAUUCUUCAUCAUAAAAACAAACAAAUAAAAACAGUUGCUCUUACUACCUGAACAAGGUCCGUCCCCUCCUCCAUCGCCUCCAUAGUCUACACAGCAAACCUGAUAUGGGUGCCGAGUUCCCAUGGAAGUCUUUAGGAAAUCAAGAAGGGCCUUCAAC